rnacentral:lncRNA from 1 species
GAGCGGGCCCCGGCGGGAAUGCGGCAGCGGGCGGCAGCCUUUGUCAGGCGCUUUUUCUGGGAGAGAAAAAGGGGAAAAAAGCAGCUGUAUUUUUUUUCCUCAAGUGUCGGAUGUUCCCUGCGUGUGCGGUGAAACCGGGUGUGUGAUCGCUGGCUGUGCCUGUCUGCUGGUUACACUUAUUGAUGGUAUCUCCAGAGGUUUCCAAUUUCUAGAUACUCAGGUGUACUUCAAAGAUGCCAGAUGAGCACUUCUUGAGGUUGUUUCUGGUUCACAGGUUCAAAGUCCCCAGGCUG